rnacentral:rRNA from 1 species
UGGGGGGAUAUUGCGGCAAUGGGGGGAAACCCUGACGCAGCAACGCCGCGUGAAGGAAGACGGUUUUCGGAUUGUAAACUUCUUUUGUUAAGGACGAAGAAAGUGACGGUACUUAACGAAUAAGCUCCGGCUAACUAUGUGCCAGCAGCCGCGGUAAUACAUAGGGAGCAAGCGUUGUCCGGAUUUACUGGGUGUAAAGGGUGCGUAGGCGGCAAGGCAAGUCAGAUGUGAAAUCUAUGGGCUCAACCCAUAAACUGCAUUUGAAACUGUAGAGCUUGAGUGAAGUAGAGGCAGGCGGAAUUCCCCGUGUAGCGGUGAAAUGCGUAGAGAUGGGGAGGAACACCAGUGGCGAAGGCGGCCUGCUGGGCUUUAACUGACGCUGAGGCACGAAAGCGUGGGUAGCAAACAGGAUUAGAUACCCUGGUAGU